AAAUAGUUUUUGCUUGUACGAAUCUAGUUUUACAAUUCUAAAAUACAGCAUCACAAUCGGGACUUUUGGCGGUUUCAUCUCAUCCUCCCCAAAAAAUAACCGAAACAUUCCGGGAUGAGUGCUAAUAUAACAAGCAGAGGCAGUGUGACCAACAGGAAAUCAGGGAAACUGGAAAUAGAUAUCUAACUAUAUAGUAUGAAGGGAGGCUUGGAAGCUCCAAACCCCUACCAAGAUCUGCAACACUAAUUAGGAUAAUGUUCAGGCCACAUCCUGAACCUGAAUCUUCCACUGACAGGAUAAUGUUCAGGCCACAACCUCAACCUGAAUCUUCCACUGACUGGGUAAUGUUCAUGCCACAACCUCAACAUGAAUCUUCCAC